GACGAACGCUGGCGGCGUGCCUAAUACAUGCAAGUCGAACGCAGUGGGGACGGGUGAGUAACACGUGGGUAACCUCCCAUCAGAGGGGAUAACACUUGGAAACAGGUGCUAAACCGAUCCUGAUGUAUGGACCCUCGGGGCAUUAGCUAGUUGGUGAGGUAAAGGCUCACCAAGGCCACGAUGCAUAGACGGCCUGAGAGGGUGAGCGGACACACGGGGACUGAGACACGGCCCAGACUCCUACGGGAGGCAGCAGUAGGGAAUCUUCGGCAAUGGACGAAAGUCUGACCGAGCAACGCCGCGUGUGUGAAGAAGGUUCUAGGUUCGUAAAACUCUGUUGUUAGAGAAGCGGUAUCUAACCAGAAAGCCACGGCUAACUACGUGCCAGAAGCCGCGGUAAUAC
rnacentral:rRNA from 1 species